UUGUGGUCAGGUUAGGGUGACCAAACAGUAAAUAUGAAAAAUCGGGACAGGGGCAGGGGAUAAUAGGAGCCUAUAUAA